rnacentral:rRNA from 1 species
CAGGCCUAACACAUGCAAGUCAAGGGGCCUUGGGGCGAGGAGCAAUCCUUGCCGCCGGCGACCGGCGCACGGGUGAAUAACGCGUAUGCGACCUGCCCGUUGCAGGGGGAUAAUCGGGAGAAAUCCCGUCUAAUACCGCGUAAUGCCGCGGGGCUGCAUGGCCCUGCGGCCAAAGGAAGCGAUUCCGGCAACGGAUGGGCAUGCGUGACAUUAGCUAGUUGGCGGGGCAACGGCCCACCAAGGCGACGAUGUCCAGGGGUUCUGAGAGGAAGGUCCCCCACACUGGUACUGAAACACGGACCAGACUCCUACGGGAGGCAGCAGUGAGGAAUAUUGGUCAAUGGGCGCGAGCCUGAACCAGCCAAGUCGCGUGAGGGAUGACGGCCCUACGGGUUGUAAACCUCUUUUGUCGGGGAGCAAAUUCCGCCACGUGUGGCGGAGUCGAGAGUACCCGAAGAAAAAGCAUCGGCUAACUCCGUGCCAGCAGCCGCGGUAAUACGGAGGAUGCGAGCGUUAUCCGGAUUUAUUGGGUUUAAAGGGUGCGUAGGCGGACUGUCAAGUCAGCGGUAAAAUACGGGGGCUCAACCUCCGCCCGCCGUUGAAACUGACGGUCUUGAGUGGGCGAGAAGUAUGCGGAAUGCGUGGUGUAGCGGUGAAAUGCAUAGAUAUCACGCAGAACUCCGAUUGCGAAGGCAGCAUACCGGCGCCCAACUGACGCUGAAGCACGAAAGCGUGGGUAUCGAACAGGAUUAGAUACCCUGGUAGUCCACGCAGUAAACGAUGAAUACUAGCUGUCCGGGGCGAAUGAGCCCUGGCGUGGCACAGCGAAAGCGUUAAGUAUUCCACCUGGGGAGUACGCCGGCAACGGUGAAACUCAAAGGAAUUGACGGGGGCCCGCACAAGCGGAGGAACAUGUGGUUUAAUUCGAUGAUACGCGAGGAACCUUACCCGGGCUCAAACGACACAGGAACGUACCUGAAAGGGUUCGGCUCUACGGAGCCUGUGUCGAGGUGCUGCAUGGUUGUCGUCAGCUCGUGCCGUGAGGUGUCGGCUUAAGUGCCAUAACGAGCGCAACCCCCAUCGACAGUUGCUAACAGGUCAGGCUGAGGACUCUGUCGAGACUGCCGGCGCAAGCUGCGAGGAAGGCGGGGAUGACGUCAAAUCAGCACGGCCCUUACGUCCGGGGCGACACACGUGUUACAAUGGCAGGUACAGCGGGAAGCCACCUGGCGACAGGGAGCGGAACCCGAAAGCCUGUCUCAGUUCGGAUUGGAGUCUGCAACCCGACUCCAUGAAGCUGGAUUCGCUAGUAAUCGCGCAUCAGCCACGGCGCGGUGAAUACGUUCCCGGGCCUUGUACACACCGCCCGUCAAGCCAUGGAAGCCGGGGGUGCCUGAAGUGCGCUGCCGCGAGGAGCGCCCUAGGGUAAAACCGGUGACUGGGGCUAAGUCGUCACAA